UCAAACUUGGUCAUUUAGAGGAAGUAAAAGUCGUAACAAGGUUUCCGUAGGUGAACCUGCGGAAGGAUCAUUACUGAGUGUUGAUCUGUUUUACGGAUCGCCUCCCACCCUUUGUUUAUCAAAACCUGUUGCUUCGGCGUUUCGAUUCUAAUCUUUUUGUCAAAAGAUUUGAACCGUUGGCUUCUUUAAAGCGAAUGUGUUAUUCGCCGAAGGACUUUUUUAUACUCUUGUUUUUACGGUUGUCUGAGUUUUGAAAUAUCAAAAAAAUUAAAACUUUCAACAACGGAUCUCUUGGUUCUGGCAUCAAUGAAGAACGCAGC
rnacentral:misc_RNA from 1 species